CCAAAUUGAAUUCCUGCUUGUUUUGAUGGAAGGGGACUACCAAGUCACACUUCUUUGUGCAACAAAUCAUUGUCUGGUGGAUCUCUGAAUUUCAAGGUAUGAGAAGAAAGUGGUCUAUGCAGUCAAACUUCACUACUUUACACUAAAAAUUAUUUUAUUGCUGUAAUAACCACAAUUAGUUGUAAAUCUGCUGGUUCUAGGGGGCCAGCAAAUAAAGAGCCAGCUAAAUCAUUAGCUUUAGGUCUACUUGUUCAUAUUCGAUGUGUCUUGCAGCUCUCUCAAGUAGAUGGCAAGCUAAUUUGCUAAAUAAUUGUUCUAAACAUCUAAGUAUUGAUUAUCAUCUGUGACCUGUUGGUAUGCAUACCUCAGGAAACGGUCACACAUGCGCAUGCUAUCACGCAGAUUGUGUGUUGUUGGUGUUGACCACUUGAGAGUCACAAAACAUGUUCUCUGCCAGCCCGUGUGAUUGCUUGACGUGGACAUUCGGUAGGAUAUCUC
rnacentral:lncRNA from 1 species